AAAUGUUUGAAUCAGUUUUAUUGUCACAGACACGUUAAUAAACUCCAUAUAUUUCUGAACCUGUAAACAAGUCUGUUACAAUAAAAUUG